rnacentral:rRNA from 1 species
UUGAUGGCGACCGGCGCACGGGUGAGUAACACGUAUCCAACCUGCCGAUAACUCGGGGAUAGCCUUUCGAAAGAAAGAUUAAUACCCGAUGGUAUAAUCAGACCGCAUGGUUUGAUUAUUAAAGAAUUUCGGUUAUCGAUGGGGAUGCGUUCCAUUAGGCAGUUGGUGAGGUAACGGCUCACCAAACCUUCGAUGGAUAGGGGUUCUGAGAGGAAGGUCCCCCACAUUGGAACUGAGACACGGUCCAA